AACGAACGCUGGCGGCAUGCCUAACACAUGCAAGUCGAACGAGACCUUCGGGUCUAGUGGCGCACGGGUGCGUAACGCGUGGGAACCUGCCCUUAGGUUCGGAAUAACUCUCCGAAAGGGGUGCUAAUACCGGAUAAUGUCUUCGGACCAAAGAUUUAUCGCCCUUGGAUGGGCCCGCGUUGGAUUAGCUAGUUGGUAGGGUAAAAGCCUACCAAGGCGACGAUCCAUAGCUGGUCUGAGAGGAUGAUCAGCCACACUGGGACUGAGACACGGCCCAGACUCCUACGGGAAGCAGCAGUGGGGAAUAUUGGACAAUGGGCGGAAGCCUGAUCCAGCAAUGCCGCGUGAGUGAUGAAGGCCUUAGGGUUGUAAAGCUCUUUUACCCGGGAUGAUAAUGACAGUACCGGAAGAAUAAGCUCCGGCUAACUCCGUG
rnacentral:rRNA from 1 species